AUUUCCAGUGCCCAGAAGUCUUCUUUUCAGCAGUGUUUAUGUACUUAACAGCAUUUUCUGAGCUUUCGCCUGUAUUUCCUGUUGGGCUACAGUGUUUUCCAACGUUGCCGUUAAGAGAACAAAGUCAACACUAAAAAAAUAAUUUUUUUAUUGAAGAAUAUGUUUUUCCAAGUAAAGUCAUUAUCAAAGAGACUGUCAUGAGAGAGGAAGGACCCUCCCUAAAGCCAAACAAGGAGAAAAGCUUUUUGAAGACUGUCCCUUUGGAGGAAAAAUAAGCAUGUUGUUGGGUAAUCCUGCCAUUAUGUUCCUUGUUGGUAAUCUCAUCACAGCCAAUGAUCUAAGAUCCUGGUCCACAU